CUGGAGUUCAGAAAGUGGAAUCACAUGUGUGAAACUUGCUGUUUCUUUUAUCUUUACUGAAAGGCAAAAAUACUUGUGAAUAAAAUAGAGUAGAAAUAAAGUAUUCUGUAUCUGCUCAUUGUUCUUCCUAUGAUUAAUUAAACACUCCAAAAGCCCAACUUUUCUUUAGCGACUCAGAGGUCUGGACAAUGAGGAGCAUAGAUGAGAAUUUUAGAACUUAAAAGCAAAGAAAUGGCAAGUUUUUCAGUGCAGUUGUUCUUUUCUUUGUUAGGCAUGUUCUAUCUCUUGUGGACUCAGCAAAUAAAUAUUUACAAGUACUUCUAAAAUACAUAUAAUUUACCUUUGGAUGGCUUUAUAAUUGCUUUACUGACACCUAUAGAACCUAAAACAUCUUCAUAUGUGCAUAGUAUGUUUUCUCUCCUCUGGCUUUUAAAGCUUUUCCUUUUGUGCCAGAUAUCUGGUUAUAGAAAUAAAAAGAUUAGAUUGUUUUCUCCAACGCCUCAGGCAUACAGAAUCAGUUGUAACCAAGAUAGUCACUAGGAUCUUCAGCUGAGAGUCAUAUGAUUAUAUAUCUUUGCAUUCUCUAUAAAUCAACAUGAAUUGCACUUGCUCUCACAUGACAUUUCAAAAGUUUUCUCUAAUCCCUUAAUGGGAUAUGAUCUGAAAAGCCUAUUGGAACUGAAUGAAGCCCCUUCGCAAAGGAAACUUCAGUAUAAUGAAAAGAUCCUGAGUUUAAUUUGUCUAAUGAUGUAUUUCCAGCCACUUUAAAAAAGAAAACAGUUAAAGGAGGCAAGGAUAAAUAUUAGGGCUGUCAAACGAUUGAAAAAAUCCUCAGUCCUGAAAUUAAAAAAUAGUCGCUAUUAAUAGCAGUUUUAAUCAUACUCUUAAUAAUAGAAUGCCAAAUUAAAUUCAGCAUGGAAGCAUGUCCUCUGGAAUGGUGGUCGAAGCAUGAAGGGGUAUACGAACGUUUAGCAUAUCUGUGUGAUUACUCAGUGUAGCAAGUCAUGGCGUCAGAUUCCAUCAGGUGGUCGAGGGACAUCUAUUUAGAACACAUCACUGGACAUCGGCAAUACCAGGAGAGAUGAGCUGAAGUGCCGUUGAGAACCAAAGUCGAGAAAAUAACUGGAAUACUUCUCUGAUGGAUUGUAUCUACUGAAGGACAACCUAUCCUAAAUGCUGCACUCAUUGCUAUAUUUGCUUUCCACAAGCUACUCUCUGUAUAACCUUUCAUGAGUGUUGUACCCAAAUAUUUGAAUGCUAAUAUCUAAAUUGUAUAGUUUAUUAACUUAAAUUUAGGUUAUUGCAAGUUAUGUAGUAUAUGUAUUGCAUUACUUUUAAAUCAAAUUUUGUACUUUUGGACAAUUUAAGCACUAUGCCCAGAUGUACAGACACUCUUUCCUUAACCUGUGUAUUAUAUAAUUUUAACACUAGCUUUAAUUAAAAAAAAAUUAAAUUA